rnacentral:rRNA from 1 species
GGUAGUCCACGCCGUAAAACGAUGAUAACUAGCUGUCCGGGGACUUGGUCCUUGGGUGGCGCAGCUAACGCAUUAAGUUAUCCGCCUGGGGAGUACGGCCGCAAGGUUAAAACUCAAAUGAAUUGACGGGGGCCUGCACAAGCGGUGGAGCAUGUGGUUUAAUUCGAAGCAACGCGCAGAACCUUACCAGCGUUUGACAUGGUAGACGGCUUCCAGAGAUGGAUUCCGUUCCCUUCGGGGACCUACACACAGGUAGCUGGCAUGGCUGUCGUCAGCUCGUGUACGUGAGAUGUGGUUAAGUCCCGNUAACGAGCGCAACCCUGGCCUUAAGUCCAGUCAUUCAGUUGGUACUCUAACGACGCCGUGAUACGCGAGAGUGGGACUGACGUCAAUCGAUCGACGUGCCCGUUAGUCGACCGUGGGACUACGACGACGUCGCUACGAAUGGCUGGUACAACGAGUCGACAAGUCGGUGUACGGCAAGCUAAUCGUCUUAAAGGCCAGUCUCGUAGUUCGGAUUGUACGGCUGACAACUCGCCUACAUACGG